rnacentral:rRNA from 1 species
CCUACGGGUGGCAGCAGUAGGGAAUAUUGCUCAAUGGGGGAAACCCUGAAGCAGCAACGCCGCGUGGAGGAUGAAGGUUUUCGGAUUGUAAACUCCUUUUGUUAGAGAAGAUAAUGACGGUAUCUGACGAAUCAGCACCGGCUAACUCCGUGCCAGCAGCCGCGGUAAUACGGAGGGUGCAAGCGUUACUCGGAUUUACUGGGCGUAAAGAGCGCGUAGGCGGGAUAGCAAGUCAGAAGUGAAAUCCUAGGGCUUAACCAUAGAACUGCAUUUGAAACUGUGAUGCUAGAGUAUGGGAGAGGUAGGUGGAAUGCUUGGUGUAGGGGUAAAAUCCGUAGAGAUCAAGAGGAAUACUCAUUGCGAAGGCGACCUGCUAGAACAUAACUGACGCUGAUGCGCGAAAGCGUGGGGAGCAAACAGGAUUAGAUACCCCAGUAGUC